rnacentral:rRNA from 1 species
UGGGGAAUUUUGGACAAUGGGCGAAAGCCUGAUCCAGCAAUGCCGCGUGUGUGAAGAAGGCCUUCGGGUUGUAAAGCACUUUUGUCCGGAAAGAAAUGGCCCUGGUUAAUACCUGGGGUCGAUGACGGUACCGGAAGAAUAAGGACCGGCUAACUACGUGCCAGCAGCCGCGGUAAUACGUAGGGUCCAAGCGUUAAUCGGAAUUACUGGGCGUAAAGCGUGCGCAGGCGGUUGUGCAAGACCGAUGUGAAAUCCCCGGGCUUAACUUGGGAAUUGCAUUGGUGACUGCACGGCUAGAGUGUGUCAGAGGGGGGUAGAAUUCCGCGUGUAGCAGUAAAAUGCGUAGAGAUGUGGAGGAAUACCGAUGGCGAAGGCAGCCCCCUGGGAUAACACUGACGCUCAUGCACGAAAGAGUGGGGAGCAAACAGG